rfam:Pedobacter steynii strain DX4, complete genome.
GAGGGGGAAACCGAAAACCCUGAACAGAGUAGGUA